rnacentral:rRNA from 1 species
UACAGAGGUCUCAAGCGUUGUUCGGAUUCAUUGGGCGUAAAGGGUGCGUAGGCGGCGCGGUAAGUCGGGUGUGAAAUCUCGGAGCUUAACUCCGAAACUGCAUUCGAUACGGGCAGACUAGAGUUCGGUAGGGGAGUCUGGAAUUCCUGGUGUAGCGGUGAAAUGCGCAGAUAUCAGGAGGAACACCGGUGGCGAAGGCGGGACUCUGGGCCGAUACUGACGCUGAGGAGCGAAAGCGUGGGGAGCGAACAGG